CCUACGGGAGGCAGCAGUGAGGGAUAUUGCACAAUGGGCGGAACCCUGAUGCAGCGACGCCGCGUGGGUGAAGGAGUGCUUCGGCAUUGAAAGCCCUAUCUGCAGGGAAGAAGCAAGACGCUACCUGACUCGGAAGCCCGUGCUAACUACGUACCAGAAGCCGCGGUAAUACGGAGGGGGCGAGCGUUAAUCGGAAUUACUGGGCGUAAAGGGCUCGUAGGCGGUACGUCAAGUCAAGGGUGAAAACCCCGCGCUCAACGGCGGAACUGCCUUUGAAACUGGCAAACUGGAGUGUGUGAGAGGAUAGUGGAAUUCCAGGUGUAGGAGUGAAAUCCGUAGAUAUCUGGAAGAACAUCGGUGGCGAAGGCGACUAACUGGCACAUAACUGACGCUGAGGAGCGAAAGCGUGGGUAGCAAACAGGAUUAGAUACCCCUGUAGUC
rnacentral:rRNA from 1 species